rnacentral:rRNA from 1 species
AAGUAGAUACCCCGGUAGUCCACGCCGUAAACGAUGAGUGCUAAGUGUUAGAGGGUUUCCGCCCUUUAGUGCUGCAGCUAACGCAUUAAGCACUCCGCCUGGGGAGUACGGCCGCAAGGCUGAAACUCAAAGGAAUUGACGGGGGCCCGCACAAGCGGUGGAGCAUGUGGUUUAAUUCGAAGCAACGCGAAGAACCUUACCAGGUCUUGACAUCCUCUGACAACCCUAGAGAUAGGGCUUUCCCCUUCGGGGGACAGAGUGACAGGUGGUGCAUGGUUGUCGUCAGCUCGUGUCGUGAGAUGUUGGGUUAAGUCCCGCAACGAGCGCAACCCUUGAUCUUAGUUGCCAGCAUUCAGUUGGGCACUCUAAGGUGACUGCCGGUGACAAACCGGAGGAAGGUGGGGAUGACGUCAAAUCAUCAUGCCCCUUAUGACCUGGGCUACACACGUGCUACAAUGGAUGGUACAAAGGGCUGCAAACCUGCGAAGGUAAGCGAAUCCCAUAAAGCCAUUCUCAGUUCGGAUUGCAGG